rnacentral:tRNA from 1 species
GGCGCAGUGGCGGAGUGGUCUAACGCGCAAGACUAGAAUCAUCUAGACUUCACCGUCUGGAGAAUCUGUGAUCUUGUUCCUUCGGGAGCGUCUGUUCGAAUCAGGCCUGCGUCG